AAAAGUUAAGCCAAUGGUUAAUGUUCCAGAGAUAUAUCUUAAUAACCAUUUUAGACCUGCCCAAUGUGGUUUACCAGGAUUCGACAUAAAUCGACUUAGAAAACUAAUAGCAUAGGCUAAAUCAGGUCUUGUUGUAAUCAUUGAAAACAUCACAGACCCUAUUGCAUUAGCAUAUGGAAUGUUUUUCAUUUCUCUCAUCUCAAUUUCAAUCUUUGGUGAUUGAGCAAUGGAGAGGUUCAUGUGGGCAGCUAGAGGUACAUUUACAGACUUGGCAUCUUUCAUACCGAACUUGGUUAUAACUUUAUUUAGAUAAGAUUCUUGAGAUAUUGUCAGUUUAUUACUACGCCUAUCUCUCUUUAUAACCAUCCCUAAGAUUUUCUUGGCGUUGCCUAAGUCUUUUAUAUCAAAUUCAGAUUUCAAGAGGUUCUUAAGUCUUUCAAUUUCAGGCAUACUGGAACUUGCUAGAAGCAUAUCAUCUACAUAUAGAAGAAGGUAUACUUCACUUCCAACCUUAGCAUUAUUAAAGUAUAAACAGUGAUCAUACUCACUCCUCUUGAAUCCAAUUUUCAGCACAUAUGUGUCAAACCUUAUAUACCAUUGUCUUGGGCUUUGUUUAAGCCCGUAUAAGGAUUUUUGUAACUUACACACAAAAUCCUGUUUUUCUUUCACCUCAAAGCCUUGAGGUUGACACAUAUAAAUGUCCUCUUCUAGCUCACCAUGUAAGAAUGCAGUCUUAACAUCUAAUUGUUCAAGUUCCCAGUUGAAUUGAACAACUAGUGCAAGAAUCAUUCUUAUGGUUUUAUAUUUUAUGACUGGCGAAAAUAUUUCAUUAUAGUCCACUCCUUCUUUCUGAGUAAAGCCCUUGGCUACUAGCCUGGCUUUAUACCUAACAGGUUCAGAUGAAUUAUUCCCUUCCUUUAACUUGUAAAUCCACUUACACUGAACGAUUCUAUGAUUAUUAGGCCUUUUUACCAACUUUCAGGUUUUAUUUUCAGUUAGGGACUGCAAUUCUUCCCUCAUUGCAACUUUCCAUUUAGCAGCAUUAGGACAAUUCAUUGCCUCCUCAAAAGUAGUGGGUUCUGAAUUUUCUAAUGCUUCACCUGAAGUUAAGGCAAAAUCAGUCAGGUUAUUAAUGUAAUAUCUGAGAUUAG
rnacentral:lncRNA from 1 species